rnacentral:pre_miRNA from 1 species
CAUGCACCAGUAGGGUCCCUCGGCCUGGCCUGCGGGAUUGAAACCGGCUCUCUGACAUCCCCCGAGAGGUCCCAGAUUACGACAGGGCGCAGGCCAGGCCGAGGGACCCCACCGGUGCACA